GUGCCAGCAGCCGCGGUAAUUCCAGCUCCAAUAGCGUAUAUUAAAGUUGCUGCGUUUAAAAAGCUCGUAGUUGGAUCUCGGUUCCAGGCCUGCGGUCCGCCUCGAGGCGGAUACUGCUCGUCCUGUGUUCGACGUCGUGGUGGUCCCUUGGUGCUCUUGACUGAGUGUCUCGGGCGGUCCCGAACGUUUACUUUGAAAAAAUUAGAGUGCUCAAAGCAGGCGUAUCGCCUGAAUAAUUCCGCAUGGAAUAAUGGAAUAGGACCUCGGUUCCAGUUUCGUUGGUUUGCGAAUCCUUGAGGUAAUGAUUAAUAGGGACUGCCGGGGGCAUACGUAUUGCGGCGGGAGAGGUGAAAUUCGUGGAUCGCCGCAAGACGAACGACAGCGAAAGCAUUUGCCAAGAAUGUUCUCAUUAAUCAAGAACGAAAGUCAGAGGUUCGAAGAC
rnacentral:rRNA from 1 species